ACUUUUGUUUCAGACCUCUUAAGUCAUGAAAAUGCAGCAACGCUGAAUGAUGUAAAGACAUUGGUCCAGCAACUAUACACCACACUGUGCAUUGAGCAGCACCAGUUAAACAAGGAAAGGGAGCUUAUUGAAAGACUAGAGGAUCUCAAAGAGCAGCUGGCUCCCCUGGAAAAGGUACGAAUUGAGAUUAGCAGAAAAGCUGAGAAGAGGACCACUUUGGUGCUAUGGGGUGGCCUUGCCUACAUGGCCACACAGUUUGGCAUUUUGGCCCGGCUUACCUGGUGGGAAUAUUCCUGGGACAUCAUGGAGCCAGUAACAUACUUCAUCACUUAUGGAAGUGCCAUGGCAAUGUAUGCAUAUUUUGUAAUGACACGCCAGGAAUAUGUUUAUCCAGAAGCCAGAGACAGACAAUACUUACUAUUUUUCCAUAAAGGAGCCAAAAAGUCACGUUUUGACCUAGAGAAAUACAAUCAACUCAAGGAUGCAAUUGCUCAGGUAAGUUUUACAAAAAUUAAAAUAAAUCCCAGCCCUAUCUUGCAUGGUU
rnacentral:lncRNA from 1 species